UCCAAGGCCUUUCUGAAGGCCACAAUUAUUGAGCAGCUUAUGACAU
rfam:Echinostoma caproni strain Egypt genome assembly, scaffold: ECPE_contig0005254